rnacentral:rRNA from 1 species
UUAAAGCGGUACGCGAGCUGGGUUCAGACCGUCGUGAGACAGGUCGGUCUCUAUCCGCUGUGGGCGUAAGGGAUUUGAGAGGAGCUGCCCCUAGUACGAGAGGACCGGGGUGGACAGACCGCUAGUGUGUCAGUUGUCGUGCCAACGGCAUCGCUGAGUAGCUAAGUCUGGCAGAGAUAACCGCUGAAAGCAUCUAAGUGGGAAACUCGCCUCAAGAUGAGAUCCCUCAUCUGUAAAAGGAGUAAGGCCGCAGGAAGACUACCUGCUUGAUAGGCGGGAAGUGGAAGCGCAGUAAUGUGUGGAGCUAACCCGUACUAAUGGCCGAGGGCUUCUC